CUGGGGAUGGGAGCAGCUGGAGCCAUGGCAGGGAGAGGAACACACUGUCCCCAGCUCUGCCCAGAAUUAAGCCCUGGCUGCUGGCAGCGAUGCUGGCUCCAGAACUGUCUCAUUUUCAUUGACACCUCCUCCUGCCAAAACCCAGUGAGUAAUUCUCAGGAGAUAAGCAGGUUAGGCCAGAUUCAGCACGAUAAUUGAAGGUUGGAGGUAACGUGAGAUCCUUAUGUGCUCCCGUUGGCACAGCCCCCCUCUGCCAUAAGGCCACGCAAGCCAAGAGCCUUGUGCUGCCGAAGACCCCAUCACUUACCCCACACAUUUCUAUGCUUUACUCACACGAGAUAAGCCCAGUGCAUGGCACUCAGCCCACCACGCCAACUAACGACAAGUCUGUGCCAUCUCGGGCUUUAAGACAUUAAAUCACAGCUUUGUUUAAAAGUCACUGAAGUCGAUCACUCUUAAUAAUGGCCGUCUCACCCUUCGCAGUCACACAUCAAAACACCACCUCCGUAUCGUGCCCCCCUCGCCACUCACUGGUAGUCAGCUUUGAGGAAGAGAGAGCACAUAAAAUUCACAUAUUAUUUCAUGCUGCCACUGCUCCUUGCUGCCGAAACAACUCAGUGCAGAGCAGAAGGGAGAGAAGCAGCAAGGAUUUUCCAGAGCUAAAAUAGAUACCAACGCCUCGUGCGUAUCACAGGGCUUUGCUGGGACAGCUCAGUGGUGUGAUAUUGAUGUGACUGUUUUCUUCUCCUCCUUUAACUGUAGCUUUCUGCAGAGAUCAACCUGGGCACCAGAUUUUACCAGAUUACCUCUAUUUACUCACAUCAGCUAAUUUGAGAGCGAACACGUUAUAUAACCCAACAUCAUCAUCCCAGUUAUAAAUGACGAAUUCCACCAUAAAGCCCGAUAAAAAUCUUUAUUGCAAUUUCACUUUUUAUAUCUUUUAGACAAAUAGGUUUUUGGCAUCAGGGACGUCUGUAUUGAUUUUCACAUCCAGGCUGAACCAUUCAUGGAGACGAGUAAAGUGGGACAUGCAUCAUAGGAAACACGAUAAGCAAGCAGUGGAAAUGAUGGAUUCGGCAACACCGAUGCAAAACUGCAAAGAGAACAGAGAGGGAAAGCAAGUUACAUUAGCAGAGAGAAUUCUACAUAAAAUACAGCGGAGCGGCUGGGGAACAGGCAGCCAAGAUGUUCAGCUGCAAGUGGAGUCCAAUUUGAUGCUCAGCAUGAGUUUAAAAGGAAGAUUUUCUCAGCUUUAAAAUAAAAGAGCAGUGUCAGACGUGGAUGGGGCAGCAAGCUGCAGUCACGGGAAUGGGUUGCCCAGGCUCAGGAAAAGUGAGAGCACUGAAAGCAGCUCGUUUUGCUGCCGUACACUUAGGGAUGUGCUCAUUGCAUCCAGGCAAAACACACGUGUAUGUCAGCACCUGGUUUGUGGAGAUCCACCACGAGUCAGUGGGAAUGUUGCCUUUGGGGGAGCAGACCUCAUUCCCUGCUGGCUGAUGGCCCUCAGUUUUUGCAGCCGUGGCCCUUUGACACACACAGAUUGCUGCCAGCCAGGACCCGAUCCUGCUGCCACUGAAAUCAAUGGAAGUUUUGUUGUUGGCUUCCAUGGGAUGAAGGAUUCAAUCCGGCAGUCGAUAGGGUUCGAGUGUCCUUUGUCUAAGUGGGGUCGUGUUAAUUCUGGAGGAUGGGCCUACAUCAUAUCCAUUAUUGGGAUUUGCAGCUGAGCA
rnacentral:lncRNA from 1 species